rnacentral:rRNA from 1 species
AUGAACGCUGGCGGCGUGCCUAAUACAUGCAAGUCGAGCGAACAGACGAGGAGCUUGCUCCUCUGACGUUAGCGGCGGACGGGUGAGUAACACGUGGAUAACCUACCUAUAAGACUGGGAUAACUUCGGGAAACCGGAGCUAAUACCGGAUAAUAUAUUGAACCGCAUGGUUCAAUAGUGAAAGACGGUUUUGCUGUCACUUAUAGAUGGAUCCGCGCCGCAUUAGCUAGUUGGUAAGGUAACGGCUUACCAAGGCAACGAUGCGUAGCCGACCUGAGAGGGUGAUCGGCCACACUGGAACUGAGACACGGUCCAGACUCCUACUGGAGGCAGCAGUAGGGAAUCUUCCGCAAUGGGCGAAAGCCUGACGGAGCAACGCCGCGUGAGUGAUGAAGGUCUUCGGAUCGUAAAACUCUGUUAUUAGGGAAGAACAAAUGUGUAAGUAACUAUGCACGUCUUGACGGUACCUAAUCAGAAAGCCACGGCUAACUACGUG